rnacentral:rRNA from 1 species
GACGAACGCUGGCGGCGUGCUUAACACAUGCAAGUCGAACGGAAAGGCCCUGCUUGCAGGGUACUCGAGUGGCGAACGGGUGAGUAACACGUGGGUGAUCUGCCCUGCACUUCGGGAUAAGCCUGGGAAACUGGGUCUAAUACCGGAUAGGAGCCAUUUUUAGUGUGAUGGUUGGAAAGUUUUUUCGGUGUAGGAUGAGCUCGCGGCCUAUCAGCUUGUUGGUGGGGUAAUGGCCUACCAAGGCGGCGACGGGUAGCCGGCCUGAGAGGGUGGACGGCCACAGGGGGACUGAGGUACGCCCGAGCCCCCAGCGGGGGGAAGGGGGGGGAAAUAUGGAACAAGGGGCGCAAGCCUAGUGCGGCGACGCCGGGUGGGGGAUACGGUCCUUCGGUUUUAAAACCCUUUUCGCAGGGAACGAACCUUUGGGGACGUGCCCUAGAAAAGAAGCCCGGGCUAACUACGGC